GCGAGCGUAGUCUAGCCUGGUAGGACGCUGCCUUGCCAAGGCAGCAGCCCGGGUUCAAAUCCCGGCACUCGCA
rnacentral:tRNA from 1 species